AGAGUUUGAUCAUGGCUCAGGACGAACGCUGGCGGCGUGCUUAACACAUGCAAGUCGAACGAUGAACCACUUCGGUGGGGAUUAGUGGCGAACGGGUGAGUAACACGUGGGCAAUCUGCCCUUCACUCUGGGACAAGCCCUGGAAACGGGGUCUAAUACCGGAUACAACACUCUCGGGCAUCCGAUGAGUGUGGAAAGCUCCGGCGGUGAAGGAUGAGCCCGCGGCCUAUCAGCUUGUUGGUGAGGUAAUGGCUCACCAAGGCGACGACGGGUAGCCGGCCUGAGAGGGCGACCGGCCACACUGGGACUGAGACACGGCCCAGACUCCUACGGGAGGCAGCAGUGGGGAAUAUUGCACAAUGGGCGAAAGCCUGAUGCAGCGACGCCGCGUGAGGGAUGACGGCCUUCGGGUUGUAAACCUCUUUCAGCAGGGAAGAAGCGAAAGUGACGGUACCUGCAGAAGAAGCGCCGGCUAACUACGUGCCAGCAGCCGCGGUA
rnacentral:rRNA from 1 species